rnacentral:rRNA from 1 species
AACGAACGCUGGCGGCAGGCUUAACACAUGCCAGUCGAGCGCAUCCUUCGGGGUGAGCGGCGGACGGGUGAGUAACGCGUGGGAACGUGCCCUCUUCUACGGAAUAGCCUCGGGAAACUGAGAGUAAUGCCGUAUACGCCCGCAAGGGGAAAGAUUUAUCGGAGGAGGAUCGGCCCGCGUUGGAUUAGGUAGUUGGUGGGGUAACGGCCUACCAAGCCGACGAUCCAUAGCUGGUUUGAGAGGAUGAUCAGCCACACUGGGACUGAGACACGGCCCAGACUCCUACGGGAGGAAGCAGUGGGGAAUCUUGGACAAUGGGGGCAACCCUGAUCCAGCCAUGCCGCGUGAUCGAUGAAGGCCUUAGGGUUGUAAAGAUCUUUCAGCUGGGAAGAUAAUGACGGUACCAGCAGAAGAAGCCCCGGCUAACUCCGUG